rnacentral:snoRNA from 1 species
ACUCCUCGGGUUCAUAAGCAUGAUGAUUGGGUGCUCAUGCUCCAUGCAUGACAUGCCUCCUUGGAACCUUGUUACGACAUCGACACAUUACCCAUCUGACG